rnacentral:rRNA from 1 species
GGAAUCUUGCGCAAUGGGCGAAAGCCUGACGACGCAACGCCGCGUGGAGGAUGAAGAAUUUCGGUUCGUAAACUCUUUUCGACCGAGAUGAAUACCCACGGACCCAACACGUCUGUGGGCUGACAGUAUCGAGAGAAGAAGCCCCGGCUAACUAUGUGCCAGCAGCCGCGGUAAUACAGGGGGGGCAAGCGUUGUUCGGAAUUACUGGGCGUAAAGGGUUCGUAGGUGGCCACUUAAGUCAGACGUGAAAUCCCUCAGCUUAACUGGGGAACUGCGUCUGAUACUGAGUGGCUUGAGUGCAGGAGAGGAAUGCGGAAUUCCAGGUGUAGCGGUGAAAUGCGUAGAUAUCUGGAGGAACACCGGUGGCGAAGGCGGCAUUCUGGACUGUAACUGACACUGAGGAACGAAAGCCAGGGGAGCAAA